CCUACGGGAUGCAGCCGUGGGGAAUAUUGGGCAAUGGGCGCAAGCCUGACCCAGCAACGCCUCGUGAAGGAAGAAGGCUUUCGGUUUGUAAACUUCUUUUGUCAGGGACGAAGCAAGUGACGGUACCUGACGCAUAAGCCACGGCUAACUACGUGCCAGCAGCCGCGGUAAUACGUAGGUGGCAAGCGUUAUCCGGAUUUACUGGGUGUAAAGGGCGUGUAGGCGGGACUGCAAGUCAGAUGUGAAAACCACGGGCGCAACCUGUGGCCUGCAUUUGAAACUGUAGUUCUUGAGUACUGGAGAGGCAGACGGAAUUCCUAGUGUAGCGGUGAAAUGCGUAGAUAUUAGGAGGAACACCAGUGGCGAAGGCGGUCUGCUGGACAGCAACUGACGCUGAGGCGCGAAAGCGUGGGGAGCAAACAGGAUUAGAUACCCCAGUAGUC
rnacentral:rRNA from 1 species